AAACAAAGGAUGGGCUCUUCACAGACUGAUACUUUUGUCUUCCCAACUUGAUCCCAGCAAAAUUUGGAACAUCCUAAGGUCCACAAAAGUAGUAAACUUCCAUGAUACCUUUGAAUUCCUGGAACAAUACUGCACCUCUUUCAGUCCCUCAUAUACCUUAUAUUACUUGAAAGUUUGGGUCCAAACAUCUGCAUACAGUUAAGCUCCAAUGAACAAAUUUCAAGGUGAGAUUUAACAUACUACACAUUUAUAAAUAUUACCCGUCAUCGAAUUAUCCUAAUUUUUCCAGGGCUGGAAGACAGUCUAGGUUUACUACAAGGUGGGUAUUUGAAAUAUAAACAGCUGCUGGCAUCUACAACUUGAGAACUUCAAGCAAGGUACACAGACUUCUUUGUACUAUGCUUUAGCAGACUUUUCAGUGAUGCAGUGUCCUUGCAACUAGCAUCUUGUGCAAAAAAAAGCAAAUAGAAAAUUACAUCAUUAGUUAAUAUUUGGAAGACAUCAUCCUGGUUUAUUUUUUUUGUCUAUAUUCCUCCUUCUGUUUU
rnacentral:lncRNA from 1 species